rnacentral:rRNA from 1 species
UACGUAGGGUGCAAGCGUUAAUCGGAAUUACUGGGCGUAAAGCGUGCGCAGGCGGUUGUGCAAGACAGAUGUGAAAUCCCCGGGCUUAACCCGGGAGCUGCCUCCGAUACGGCAUGGCUUGAGUCCGGGAGAGGGGAGCAGAAUUCCCAGUGUAGCGGUGAAAUGCGUAGAUAUCAGGAGGAACACCAAUAGCGAAGGCAGCUCGCUGGGACGGUAUUGACGCUAAGGCGCGAAAGCGUGGGGAGCGAACAGG